rnacentral:rRNA from 1 species
GAGCGGAUGACGGGAGCUUGCUCCUUGAUUCAGCGGCGGACGGGUGAGUAAUGCCUAGGAAUCUGCCUGGUAGUGGGGGACAACGUUUCGAAAGGAACGCUAAUACCGCAUACGUCCUACGGGAGAAAGCAGGGGACCUUCGGGCCUUGCGCUAUCAGAUGAGCCUAGGUCGGAUUAGCUAGUUGGUGGGGUAAUGGCUCACCAAGGCGACGAUCCGUAACUGGUCUGAGAGGAUGAUCAGUCACACUGGAACUGAGACACGGUCCAGACUCCUACGGGAGGCAGCAGUGGGGAAUAUUGGACAAUGGGCGAAAGCCUGAUCCAGCCAUGCCGCGUGUGUGAAGAAGGUCUUCGGAUUGUAAAGCACUUUAAGUUGGGAGGAAGGGCAGUAAGCUAAUACCUUGCUGUUUUGACGUUACCGACAGAAUAAGCACCGGCUAACUCUGUGCCAGCAGCCGCGGUAAUACAGAGGGUGCAAGCGUUAAUCGGAAUUACUGGGCGUAAAGCGCGCGUAGGUGGUUUGUUAAGUUGGAUGUGAAAGCCCCGGGCUCAACCUGGGAACUGCAUCCAAAACUGGCAAGCUAGAGUACGGUAGAGGGUGGUGGAAUUU